GUAGGUGAACCUGCGGAAGGAUCAUUAUCGUACAACGGAGGCGCAAGGGCUGUCGCUGACCUUCAAAGGUCGUGCACGCCCGAGCCCCUCUCACAAUCCAUCUCACCCUUUGUGCAUCACCGCGUGGGUCCCCUUUGCGGGAGGGCUCACGUUUUCACAUAAAACUCGAUACAGUGUAGAAUGUUUUAUUUUGCGGUCACACGCGAUCAAUACAACUUUCAACAACGGAUCUCUUGGCUCUC
rnacentral:misc_RNA from 1 species